GAGCUCAAGCUGAUUGCCCACCUUGGCCUCCCAAAGUGCUGGGAUUACAGACAUUUUGUUUCUUUCCCAGAUCUUUCAUAUUGAAGAUCUCAGAAGGAGAGGCAUGGAUAUGGGCACAGAACUCUUUGCCUAAAACACGGUAUGUUCUUUCUUGAGACGCCGAUAUGCUAGCUAAAAAGGCUGCAUACUGAAUCAUUGCCAGUUCGCUUGUAUGUGCAAGUACAUUAUCUAGUACCCUUUUUAUUUUCUGAUAUAUAUCAGGUACAAUAUUCUCAUCCUCUGGGCGUCCUUUAAAGCACGGAGUGAAGAGGCUUGAAGAGAGAGAAAAGUAGAGAUCCCUUGGAGGGGGUAGAGUUUCAUUUCUGAAUAUGAGACUGAGUGUUGUAACGAUGUGGCACUGCUCAUCUGGAAUGUUAUGACCACAGGAAAUAAAAAAUUUUAGUAUCAAGACAAAUAGAUUUAAAGCAAAAGAGAAGAAGUGCUUCAUGCUCAUCAAAUCAGUAAAAGGGAGAUAAGUCUCCAAAUAUACACCAUCUGUUCUCUAAUCCUCCUCCAAGUUUUAUUUCUAUGAAAGUUCAUUUGCCAACAAGCUAAAAAAAAAUCUAGCUCCUAUGAAAGGUUCUAGAGUAGUGUUUUGAAGGAGACAAAAGCCUCUUUUUCUAAUUAUGAAGCAAUAGAGAAUUUUAGAUUUCUGGCUGUUUGGCCUGUUGGGGUGUAUGCUAUUUAAAAGUUACCUAAUGUUUCAGUCAGUUACCCAGGAAACCAACUAAUUUAUCACAAGUAAAUUAUAUCAAGGUAAGCUAGGUGGCUCCUGAAAGAAAACCAAUCCCCCAGUCCAUUUUAUUGUAUUAUUUAGCUAGUUCACAAAUAAACUGUGUCCCAGUAUUGAACUCAUAAUAAAGAGUAACUAAAGAUGCAAAAAAGGUAUUAAGAAUGGAGGACUUCUUUUUUAUAGAUAACAUACUUAAGAGUAGUCUUAAACCAGCAAAAGAGGAAAGAAAAUAGCUAGGAAAAUAAAACAAAAAUAAAGUCUAAGAGUGGUAGUCUAUCUUGUUGUUUCAUGUACCUUGGGCAACCAUUGUCUA